CUCGGGAGAGGAGGAAGUGAAUCCUCCAGCCGCCUGAAAGUGGCGGGAGUCUGAUGUAGGUGAAGAGUGAUCAUGCCCGGCACACGCUGCACAACUGAGAUCACAUCGUGUAUAGGGGGAACUGUGUGCAGGUAGCGGAGGUCCAGGGCCCAGGUCGUUGCAUGCCAUCGCUCCGAAACGCCUCCCCUCCCCCUCCAGGCCGACACGGGACAGGCAGGUCCUGUCGUUCCUUCUUGGGAGAGCUUGGCAGUUCCGUGGUGUUGUUCCCUCCAGAAGUAACACGUCUGGAAGUGAGGCCAUGAGAACCUGCUGAACAACUGCCGGCUUCACAACUGCACAUGUGGGGUGCGGCUGCACGCGGCUCUGCUGGGGCCGCCUUGCGCAGACAGUCAGCCGGUGGUGUGAACGUGCAGUGUUAAAAGUGACACCAGAGUGGUGGAGGCGUCACCGUCAGCUGUUGCAUGAGAUGACACCCGGCCUGCAGGGUUGGGUGAGAGCUCAGGAGCCGCAGCCCCUCCUUGCCUGGGUCCCAAGAUCCCGGCACCGGCGGGAAGGGGUCCAGGAAGAAGCGAGCACGUCCCAGGCAUGCAAAAUGGAGAAAAAACUGAGACCCAGAGGGCCUACCCAGCUUCCCCUGGAGGCAGAGCUGCAACUGGAACUAAGAUCGUCCAGCCGGGUGCAUUCUGCAGGAAGACCUGUCUGCAUUUCUCUCACAGGCUAGGGAUGUAGGUGUAAGAGCUGACCUGUGUCCAGCAUCAGCUGGGGGCGGGACCAUGAUUCAGUGUAAAGUAAAACUCAAGAACAUUCACUCCCUUGGGUGCAAAAUAAAACAUCGCCUCGAG